rnacentral:rRNA from 1 species
UACGUAGGGUGCAAGCGUUAUCCGGAAUUAUUGGGCGUAAAGAGCUCGUAGGCGGUUUGUCGCGUCUGCUGUGAAAACUGGGGGCUCAACCCCCAGCCUGCAGUGGGUACGGGCAGACUAGAGUGCGGUAGGGGAGAUUGGAAUUCCUGGUGUAGCGGUGGAAUGCGCAGAUAUCAGGAGGAACACCAGUGGCGAAGGCGGCGGCCUGGGCCAAUAUUGACGCUGAGGUGCGAAAGCGUGGGGAGCAAACAGG